rnacentral:ncRNA from 1 species
CCUUUGGAGAGUUAUACCAAACAGGAGUAGUUUUUAACGAAACUGGACUCUAUGAAUUAGGAA